rnacentral:SRP_RNA from 1 species
GCUGGGUAUGGUGGCACAUGCCUGUAAUCCCAGCUACUCAGGAGGCUGAGGCAGGAGAAUCGCUUGUACCCAGGAGGUGGAGGUUGCAGUGAGCCGGGAUCGUGCCACUGCAUUCUAGCCUGGGUGACAGAGUGAGACUCCGUCUCCA